AUUGACCGCUGGCGGCAGGCCUAACACAUGCAAGUCGAACGGCAGCGGGGGGUAGCUUGCUACCCCGCCGGCGAGUGGCGGACGGGUGAGUAAUGCCUGGGGAGCUGCCCAAUCGAGGGGGAUACCAGUUGGAAACGACUGCUAAUACCGCAUACGCCCUGAGGGGGAAAGGUGGGGAUCUUCGGACCUACCGCGUUUGGAUGCACCCAGGUGGGAUUAGCUAGUUGGUGAGGUAACGGCUCACCAAGGAGACGAUCACUAGCUGGUCUUCGAGGAUGACCAGCCACACUGGAACGGGGACACGGGCCAGACUCCUACGGGAGUCAGCAGUGGGGAAUAUUGGACAAGGGGGGAAACCCUGAUGCAGCCAUGCCGGGUGUGUGAAGAAGGCCUGCGGGUUGUAAAGCACUUUCAGCGAGGAGGAAAGGGGUGAUGCUAAUACCUUAAUCCUGUGACGUUACUCGCAGAAGAAGCACCGGCUAACUCCGUGCCAGCCGCCGCCGUAA
rnacentral:rRNA from 1 species